GAUGAACGCUGGCGGCGCGCCUAACACAUGCAAGUCGAACGAGUGGCGAACGGCUGAGUAACACGUGGGAACCUGCCCUCCUCUUGGGGAUAGCCUCGGGAAACCGAGGAUAAUACCCGAUAGAUGGGCCCGCGGCCGGUUUGCUAGUUGGAGGGGUAACGGCCCACCAAGGCGAUGAUCAGUAGCCGGUCUGAGAGGAUGAACGGCCACAUUGGGACUGAGACACGGCCCAGACUCCUACGGGAGGCAGCAGUGGGGAAUCUUGCACAAUGGGCGCAAGCCUGAUGCAGCCAUGCCGCGUGUAUGAAGAAGGCCCUAGGGUUGUAAAGUACUUUCAGUCGGGAGGCGUUACCGACAGAAGAAGCACCGGCUAACUCCGUGCCAGCAGCCGCGGUAAUUC
rnacentral:rRNA from 1 species